GGUGGGAUGGCCGAGUGGUUAAUGGCAGCAGACUGUAAAUCUGCCCUCUUUUGAGUACGUAGGUUCAAAUCCUACUCCCACCACCA
rnacentral:tRNA from 1 species